CCCCUCUCAGAGUGGCACCUGGAGAGUUUUCAGUACUCUACUAAUCUCGACUAUGGGAGGGAGAGUCAAGCAGAGGCCUAUCCAUUCCAUUCCUAGCUUGGGCAGUGGCUAGCGAGUGGAAGGACAUCUGCUACAGGU